rnacentral:lncRNA from 1 species
AGAAGAAGAGUUACUUUGUAUAAAUUGUGUGAGGUGUUAGUGAGGUUUGAAUUCCUCUUAGCAUUUAGGUCUUAUCUUAUGAGUAUUGAGAGCUCUUUAGUGGCGGCUAUCUUCACUUAUCUUGGAGGCCAAUCACACUCCAAGUGUGUGUUCCACUUCUCAAAUCCAUCACUUAAGCUUUCUCCUUCCUUCAUCUAUUCUUCCAUUGUCAUUUGAUUUUUACUCUUUGUAUCAUGUUCUUGCUUGGUUUUCCUUGUUUCCAUUCGACAAUUCUAUUUUGAUUUCUUUUUCUUGUUCUUUAAUUCCGCACCUUCUAGCAUCAUUUUCACCUUAUAAUUGUCUUUUCCUUUUGCCUUUGUGAAAUGAACCUUCACAUCUACUUAACCACUUGGUUAAGUUAAUGUCCAGUGGGGAUUUUCCUAAGGUCUUCACUCUUAAAUUCCUAAAAUUUCAAUCUAAGUAAAGUGUCACACCAAAAAAUGAAAAAUCCUAAAAUCAACUCACAUCAAGUGUAAUCAUUACAAGUUAAAUUAUAAAUAAGAGCAUUAUCAUAAGAUGGGUACACACAUUAUUACAAGAGAAACAAUGAGACCAGAAGAGAGAAAAACAACAUUAGAUCAAUACAUCAAUAUUUAAAAGCAAUAGUAAGAGUAUGUGACAAUUAUUAUAUGUAAACUAUUAUAUUAUUCUUGUCAUAAGAGGUGUCUCUAACCUCAUUGUUCUAUUUGUCCUUAUCUCCAUUGCUCUUUGAUUGGUGUAUAAAUUGACUCGGGUAAGGAACUUUAUGUUUUUCCUUACGUCUGGUAUCAAGUCAGGAGUUCCUAAUUUUAUUAUUUUGUUUGACUGAUAUUCCCUUGGCUUAAAAAGGGUAUUCUCAGUUUACCUUACAUAUGAAGUCUCACUAUUUAGAGGGAGUGAGAAUUUAAAUUAUAUGUAGUUAAAUAUUGGACAUUGAGGAUUUAAAUGAAUGGAAUUUGACAAGCUCAUUUAUGCUAACUAGUCAUUACAUGGAUGAUUUAAAUUGUUUCACGUGAAUCAAAUAACGAGUUAGAUUGUAUGUUUUACUUCAUCGUUGACUCUAUUUUGAGAAAAAGUGAAAAUUAAAUUAUAUCUAGCUGAAAGUUGGGCCUUAGGGAUUUAAAUAAGUGGGAUUUGAUAAGUUCAUUUAUCUUGACUAGUCAUUACAAAAAUAAUUUUAAUUAAUACAUGUGAAUCAAAUAGUGAGUCUGAACAAUUAUAUCAUAUGUACUUAUAUUAGUAAGUCUGAUCAAUUGUAUAAUUUGUACCUUUACCAAUAAGUCUGACUACUUGCAUCAGUGAGUGUGAGUAAUCACAUCAUUUGUGCUUAAGUCUGAUUAAUCACAUCAUUUGUGCUUGAGUUUGAGUAAUGCAUCAUAUGUGCUUGAGUCUAACUAAACGCAGCAUAUUUACUUGUACCAGUGAAUCUGACUAAUCACAUCAUUUGUGCUUGAUUUAGUGAGUCUAACUAAUUGUAUUGAUUGUACGAUAUACAUAUUUGCAU